GACGAACGCUGGCGGCGUGCCUAAUACAUGCAAGUCGAGCGGACCACUUCGGUGGUCAGCGGCGGACGGGUGAGUAACACGUGGGCAACCUGCCUGUCAGACUGGGAUAACACCGGGAAACCGGUGCUAAUACCGGAUAAUCCUUUCCUUCACAUGAGGGAAAGCUGAAAGACGGUUUCGGCUGUCACUUACAGAUGGGCCCGCGGCGCAUUAGCUAGUUGGUGAGGUAACGGCUCACCAAGGCAACGAUGCGUAGCCGACCUGAGAGGGUGAUCGGCCACACUGGGACUGAGACACGGCCCAGACUCCUACGGGAGGCAGCAGUAGGGAAUCUUCCGCAAUGGACGAAAGUCUGACGGAGCAACGCCGCGUGAGCGAUGAAGGCCUUCGGGUCGUAAAGCUCUGUUGUCAGGGAAGAACAAGUACCGGAGUAACUGCCGGUACCUUGACGGUACCUGACCAGAAAGCCACGGCUAACUACGUGCCAGCAGCCGCGGUAAUAC
rnacentral:rRNA from 1 species